UACGGAGGGUGCAAGCGUUAUCCGGAUUCACUGGGUUUAAAGGGUGCGUAGGCGGGCAGGUAAGUCCGUGGUGAAAUCUCUGAGCUUAACUCAGAAACUGCCAUGGAUACUAUUUGUCUUGAAUAUUGUGGAGGUGAGCGGAAUAUGUCAUGUAGCGGUGAAAUGCUUAGAUAUGACAUAGAACACCCAUUGCGAAGGCAGCUCACUACACAAUGAUUGACGCUGAGGCACGAAAGCGUGGGGAGCAAACAGG
rnacentral:rRNA from 1 species